rnacentral:lncRNA from 1 species
CGCUCCCUUUUCUUGAUGCCAUAAAGAGAGAGAGAGGGGAUCACUUUCUGUCUCUUCUUCCUUUUUUUUCACAUGAAGGUGUUCAUGCAUCUUCUCUCUUUGAAGAAAAAUCUAAGGUAGUAUGCAUACUAGAAUAAUAAAAAAUUUUAUAUGCGCAGCGAAAAUGAUUUAAUCUAACAUGCAUCUUCUAGAUCUCAUCUAAUAAGAUCAUCCUUAUCAUGUUCUUAAGAUCUAUAUGUAGCAAAUAAAUUUACAAAAUAUAAGCAUUAAGAUCUCAUCUUCAUCUUUGCGUGGAUAGAUAUACACCAUAGUUUGAUGAUUGUGGAUAUCUCUUUCUAGUUCUUUUUAAGCUGCACAAGCAUCCGACCUUUACAGGUAUCCACGGGACAGAUCUAGAAAAGCUCCUCUUUAUUUUUUCAUCAAGAAACCAACAAGCAAUAUUCAAAGGAGGAAGAAAAAGAUGAGAGAACUCCUCUCAAAUCAGUACUUCGCACCUUGCACGUAGAAGGAAAAAGGUGCCCAACCCUUGAGCAUGGAGACCAAAGAUGCCCAACUCUUGGGCAUGAUGAAGA